GUGCGGCCCGUCCCUAGGAGUGGGUUAAGGGACGCGGAUGUGGCCGUUCUCAGGCCUCUUGGGAUCGCCUCAAGAAGCCCCCUCAAGAGUGUCUCGAUUUCCUGCCAGCCAACAAGGGCCGUUCGCCUCUCAUGGCCUCCACAGCAGGGUUGCCGUGGCUGUCACAAAUCCUCUGCAUCCCAGGAGCGCCGCUUGGACCCCCGGGCUCACUGCGUGGCCCGUAUCUAGGCCGGGCCUCUCACGGAGACUUUCCCGCCAGUGUAAUAAAGAGGAGAAAACGUCACAGCGGAAGGGCCUGACCCUAAGGAAACAGCUACGGGGAUGGGACCCUGUAAGCUGCUGUGGGAGCCUCAUCCACCACUUCUCUGACCCCACCCAGGCUGCUUCCCAGGCGUUAGGGUCCUAGUGUGGACCUCCUGGCCAUGAUUAAUGCAGGUCAGCAGGACCAGAGCACCCCUUGGUCCCUCCCAACACAUGAGGGUAGUUUGUGUGGUGAGGUCAGGGAUAGUGUCUGUGUUUCUGCUCUGAAUAGGGCUCCCUUGGAAAAUACUUUA
rnacentral:sRNA from 1 species